rnacentral:rRNA from 1 species
UAGGGAAUCUUCGGCAAUGGGGGGAACCCUGACCGAGCAACGCCGCGUGAGUGAAGAAGGUUUUCGGAUCGUAAAGCUCUGUUGUUAAGGAAGAACGAGUGUGAGAAUGGAAAGUUCAUACUGUGACGGUACUUAACCAGAAAGGGACGGCUAACUACGUGCCAGCAGCCGCGGUAAUACGUAGGUCCCGAGCGUUGUCCGGAUUUAUUGGGCGUAAAGCGAGCGCAGGCGGUUAGAUAAGUCUGAAGUUAAAGGCAGUGGCUCAACCAUUGUAGGCUUUAGAAGCUGUUUAACUUGAGUGCAGAAGGGGGGAGUGGAAUUCCAUGUGUAGCGGUGAAAUGCGUAGAUAUAUGGAGGAACACCGGUGGCGAAAGCGGCUCUCUGGUCUGUAACUGACGCAGAGGCUCGAAAGCGUGGGGAGCGAACAGG